GAAAUAUGGAGAUUAUCAAAAUAAAGCUUCUAACUUUAAUUUUUAACGACUAAUUAUCGUUUAUAUUUCA
rnacentral:tRNA from 1 species